CCACCGAGCAGCUGGGACUACAGGCGCCCGCCACCACGCCCAGGGGAUUCUGCUUUUGCAUCUUCCUCGUUUUCUCUUGCCGCUGCCAAGUAAGAAGUGCCUUUCACCUCACACCAUGUUUCUGAGGCCUCCCCAGCCAUGUGGAACUGCAAGUCCAGUUAAACCUCUUUUUCUUCUCAGGGCUACCUUAAUGAGCAGCCAGGAUGCCAUCAUCUCCGACCUGAAUGACAAUAACCUCCAAACCAGCCUUUGUAUACUCCUUCCUGCUGCUCUGCAGUCCACUUCCACAGACCAGCCAACUGAAUCUCCUUAUAGAUUCAUAAUGGCCAUCAGCACAAAGAUGUUUUAUCUGCAGUCAACCAGUCAUGUUUCAUGAUGGCAUCAAAAUCUAAGAAUUGAUGCUUGUUCAACUGGGAUCUAUCCAGAGAAACAUAAUCCACUUCAAGAAUUUUCUGAAAAGGGAAUCUAAUGCAAGGAAUUAAUUGCAAAGAUGAUGCAAUAUCUGAGAACGAUAGAUUUGACAGUUUGGUCUACAUUUCAAGGCUGGUUAGAUGGGAGGUAUGUCCUGGUAUAUUAGUUAAUUUAGGUAUAUCUUACUGAUUUACAUUGCAUGAUUUAUCAGAUGCUAUUGACUCAUUCAAGUAAAUACAUUUAAAAAUUAUACCUUUUGCUCAUACUAGUAAUUGGGUCAGUCAUGCUCUUGAAGGAGGCAUACUGGGAGCCAUACAUUACCAGAGGCAGAGGAUUCAAUGGAUGUUUUCUGUUUUCUCUUCUUCGUGCUCUGUAAUUGAGACACAGAACAAAGGUAAUCUUUGCUUAGCGUAAUAAUGGAGAGUGACUAGACCAACAAAAGAUAUGUCAGAAUCAUUUGCAAGGGUAAAACUUACGAGUGUAUUUGUGAACCUGCUUGAACGCUCCAAUGCACAUGUGUCUGUACACAAUUUCUGGCCUAUUAACAUUUCCUAAUAUUUUAAGCCUCUGAAAUUAUUGUUAUAAUAUUUGGUAUCCUUGGGUAAAAAAUGACAUUUAACUAUAAAAAGAAUAUUUCAUCAA
rnacentral:lncRNA from 1 species